UACCAAAUCUGUCAAGACUCCCUGAAAAUAAACCUCCUCAAAGAAGAAGAUGAGAAGGAGAGAAAUACACAGUUACAAGCCAAAGCUUGAUGACACAGCCAACAUUAGAUGCUUGCUCAAGGUUUCCAACAGAUUUUCCCCAGGAAGAGGAGCUCCCAGAACAAACUCAACAAGCUCAAGCAACGACAGCAGGUCCCUAUUACAGCAAGAGGAAAAAAAAAGAUGAAUUGGACAAUGAGAAGCAGCAAACAAUGUUGUGACACAGUAAGCUUGCAAAUAAACCACACUAUUUGAAAUAAUAUACCGCAAAGAAUGAGAAAAUGUGCAUGUAGAUUCACUAAAGAAAGACUUUUCAAAAGCACAUUUACUCGUGGAGCUAUGCAAAAAAGAAAUUACCUUUCAAAAUGCCACUUAUGUUGCCAAAAGCUAAAAAAAGCAGCGAGCAACAGCACUAUUGUUAUCACAGCAUCAUAUAUUCUGCAAAUAUCUCAAAACAUAUACGUCCUAGAGUGAAUAGAAAAAAAAACUAUGACUGAAUGGACCAAUUGUUCCAGCACUCGACUCUAUAUCCCUUGCUGGGUGUUUGUCUCUUAAUUGGGAGUUUAUCUAAAUGAUUGAAUUAUAAUCAGGGAUCAGGACUGGCUCUACUAUCUACAGGCAAGAAUAUGAUGUUGGCUUGCUAAUGUUCAGGGGAAGAGAGUAGCACCUAACGCUAGAACUAUGAUCGGUUAGCUCCCAAACUUGAGAAUCAUGUGUGCACUGGCAGCAGCAAGAGGAUGUUUCAAAGGUAUGUUUACUGGGCAUGCCUAUUGACCAUAAGGCAAAUAAAGUUCUGCUUCAUCGCAGUUUGGACUACACAGUAAGUGCAGAAUGCAGCUCUUUAGUGUUUCUACAUGUCUUUAAUGGCACUGAUUAUCUUUCUGGUCAUUAGUUUACUAAGUAAAAUUUAUUAUUGACUUACUUUGGCUGAUAUAUUUGACACAACUAUCUGGAACUUUUCUGUUGUUCAUGAGCCGGCAACAUGACCAGCCUCGGCGACUUUGCUGAAGGCACCAUUGAACCAGCUUGUUCCAGCAGACACAUAUCAACAAGUAGAGGAAAUAAGGGCGA
rnacentral:lncRNA from 1 species